rnacentral:rRNA from 1 species
AGUUUGAUCCUGGCUCAGGACGAACGCUGGCGGCGUGCCUAAUACAUGCAAGUCGAACGCUUUUUCUUUCACCGGAGCUUGCUCCACCGAAAGAAAAAGAGUGGCGAACGGGUGAGUAACACGUGGGUAACCUGCCCAUCAGAAGGGGAUAACACUUGGAAACAGGUGCUAAUACCGUAUAACACUAUUUUCCGCAUGGAAGAAAGUUGAAAGGCGCUUUUGCGUCACUGAUGGAUGGACCCGCGGUGCAUUAGCUAGUUGGUGAGGUAACGGCUCACCAAGGCAACGAUGCAUAGCCGACCUGAGAGGGUGAUCGGCCACACUGGGACUGAGACACGGCCCAGACUCCUACGGGAGGCAGCAGUAGGGAAUCUUCGGCAAUGGACGAAAGUCUGACCGAGCAACGCCGCGUGAGUGAAGAAGGUUUUCGGAUCGUAAAACUCUGUUGUUAGAGAAGAACAAGGAUGAGAGUAAAAUGUUCAUCCCUUGACGGUAUCUAACCAGAAAGCCACGGCUAACUACGUGCCAGCAGCCGCGGUAAUACGUAGGUGGCAAGCGUUGUCCGGAUUUAUUGGGCGUAAAGCGAGCGCAGGCGGUUUCUUAAGUCUGAUGUGAAAGCCCCCGGCUCAACCGGGGAGGGUCAUUGGAAACUGGGAGACUUGAGUGCAGAAGAGGAGAGUGGAAUUCCAUGUGUAGCGGUGAAAUGCGUAGAUAUAUGGAGGAACACCAGUGGCGAAGGCGGCUCUCUGGUCUGUAACUGACGCUGAGGCUCGAAAGCGUGGGGAGCGAACAGGAUUAGAUACC